rnacentral:rRNA from 1 species
GCCCAACAUCUAGCCCUCACUAUUCGCAUGACCCCCUCAACCUCUCACCUCUUAACAAAACA